rnacentral:rRNA from 1 species
UACGUAGGGUGCGAGCGUUAAUCGGAAUUACUGGGCGUAAAGCGUGCGCAGGCGGUUUUGUAAGCCAGAUGUGAAAUCCCCGGGCUCAACCUGGGAAUGGCAUUUGGGACUGCAAGGCUCGAGUUUGGCAGAGGAGACUGGAAUUCCUGGUGUAGCAGUGAAAUGCGUAGAUAUCAGGAGGAAUACCGAUGGCGAAGGCAGGUCUCUGGGCUGAAACUGACGCUCAUGCACGAAAAGCGUGGGGAGCAAACAGGGAUU